rnacentral:rRNA from 1 species
AUGUCGACCACUAUCAUAGUGGCCAAGGAGGUGGAGAAGGUGGUCACCGCCGACGAAGAGAUAAUAGUAGAUAACAUCGUCCAGAGGGUGCCGUACUCGGACCCGCCGGCCGUCCGGGCGCUGGACACGAGUGAGCUGACCACGUGUUCCCUGUACCGUGCCCUCAUCGGCGAGUUCACGGCCUCUCUCGUCCUCCUCAACGGGAGCAUCGCGACCGUCGUGGGGUACAGAAACCAGUCAUCGGCCGCCGACGAGCGGUGCACCGGCGUCCGCUACCUUGGCGUCGCGUGGUCCUUCGGUGCCACCGUCUCCGCCCUCGUCUACUCUACC